CUGUCCCCACUUCCAAUAUCUCCUCUUCAUCUCUGCCUCUCUGUAUUCAUCUCUGCUGCUACUUUGCCUUGCUCUGUUCCUCUCUUUCUGUUUCUGCUUCUGCCUCUGCCUCUGCCUCUGCUUUUCUCGCCUGAGACAAGCUCUGAUUUGGGCCGAUUUUUUUCUUUUUUUUUUUUCUUAGUUAGAGUUCUUCUUGAAUCUCUCCACUUCUUUGAUCCUCUUUCUCUCAUCAUCUUUAUCUGAUUUUAUGAUUAAUUUUUCAGAUUCCAACUUGAGAUCUCACACACUGUUGUGUUUUUCUAAACCUGACAGUUUGAUUAAUUUGUUCUUUUCUAGCUUCUAGCCAUGAAAGUUGCCAAGGGCAAGGGGGCACCCAGGAAGGACAACAAGGAAACUUUAAAGCCUCUACAGGAUAGGUGAUCUUGAUCAUGUGAUUGAAGGUGAGGAAAGCUGGAGGAGAGAAAUGGAAAGCUUUCUCUGAUGCAGAGAAAGCUCCUUAUGAAGCCAAAGCAGCCAAAAGGAGAUCAGAAUAUGAAGAGCUUAUUUCAGCCUACAAUGAGAAACAGCCGAGUUUUGACGAUGAUGAUGGUGAUGAAGAGUCCGAAAAAUCUAAACCAUUGAUGUCUAGGGAUGUAAAUGGGUAGGAUACCCGCAAAAUUGAGAGUACCUUGAGAGUACCCAGAUUCAAAUCCGAUUAUAUAUACAAUUUUGGAAUCCGUCUCAAACCCAUUUAACAAUACCCGCACAAUAUCCGAACACGAUUUUUUAAAUUCAAUUCAAUGAUAAAAACUACCAAAUAAACUAACUAAUAGUUGUAACUCAGCAAAUAAAUUUUUUAAUUCAAUUCAAUAAUAAAAAUUAUCAAAUAAACUAUCUAACAGUUGCACAACCUAGCAAACCAACAGUAGGAGGAGCAAACCAGUAAUAGGAGGAGAAAUGUUCAAUGACAAGAAUCAGCAACUUAGCAACCCAAUAAAUAAUUUUUUUAAUUCAAUUUAAUGACAAAAACUACCAAAUAAACAACCUAACAGUUGCACAACCCUGUAAAAGGAAAAAUGUUCAAUGACAAAAACGAACAACUCAGCAACCCAGCAAAUAAUGAUUUAUAAUUAAAUAAUCAGAUUAAUUGUCCAUAAAUUCUAAAAAUCAACGUUAUUACAUUAAUUAAAUAGCAAAUAAUUAAAUUUUUUAACAUAUUCAAAUAAUCAGAUUAAUAGUCCAUAAAUUUUUAAUUUUUUUAAAAACAUGCACAUAAAAGAUCUUGAAACCUGAAGAGAGUUUCAAUCAAAGCAUAUGUCGCCGAUUGAGAAGAGGAAGGGGGUUGUCUCUAGCGUCAGUGAAGUGCAGGGGAGAGAAGGGUAAAUCGAAAAGAGUAGAUUUCACCCGACUGGGGAGAGAGAAUGAGAUAUCCCCGAUGCCGACCGGGCAGAGGGAAGAGUUGUCUUCAAUUGGGAAGUCGGAGAUGUCGCCUCUAGAGAGAGAAGGAGAUAUCACUGACUGAGGAGAGGCCCUGAGAACUAUGGGAAGCGAGGGAGAGAGACGCAGACGGAGAGAGGAAAGCAGAGUAAAAUGAAAAAAUUAAUUAGGGAUUAGGGUUAGUUUUGUUAGCAUAGUUAAUCGGGUUCGGGUAACGGGUAUCCGAUCACCUAAUCCCGAACUCUACCCGAAUCCGAGACGGGUAAAAUUUUUCAAAUCUGAAUCCGCCCAAAUCCGUUUUGUAAAAAUCUAAAUUCGUUCUAAUAGGGUUUGGGCGGAUCGGAUACUCAUGAAAACUCGCCCGCCUACCAUCCUUAAUCUUGCAGUUUACGGUUAAUUUUUAUGUUAUUAUAGUUUAAAAUAAAAAAAUAAUAAUAAUUUUAGAAUAAUUAAAAUAAAAAAUAAAAAAAUUAUUAAAUAGGAGGAAUAAUAAGAAUGAGAUGAUUUGAUAGCAUUAAAAAUAAUUCAGGUGAGUAAUGUUGAAACAUGUAGAGAGAAAGUGAAAAAUAAUGGGUCACAUUGGUCGCAGGUAACAUCUUAUGCCACUCAAUUCCUACAUGAAACCAAUAAGGUUGUUCUUAAUUUUCUGUUGCUUUUUUGUAAAAUGAUGUUAAUAAUUCAUUAUUAUUUUUUUAAGAUUAAUUUAAUUUUAAUACAUAAUAUUAAUAUAUAUGUCGAACAUUGUAUAAUCAUUGCCUAAGAAUUUAUGGCUUGCCUUCAAUCCCUUUUCUCCUCAUAAUGAUUUUGGAAUUUUAUUAAAGUCAUUUGCGCGUUAAAACAGUGCGUCAUACUUUAAUUUAUAAAAUUCUUUCAAAAUUCAAAUUAUCAAAAAUAAUAUCAUAUAUGAA